rnacentral:rRNA from 1 species
GGUCAAGCAAUAAGGGCACAGGGCGGAUGCCUUGGCACUAAGAGCCGAUGAAAGACGUGAUAAGCUGCGAAAAGCUUCGGGGAGGAGCAAAUAUCCCGUGAUCCGGAGAUGUCUGAAUGGGGAAACCCGCAUGAGCAGACCUCAUGCAUCCAUACGCCAAUCCAUAACGUAUGGAAGGGAACCCGGGGAACUGAAACAUCUAAGUACCCGGAGGAAAAGAAAGAAACAUCGAUUCCGUAAGUAGCGGCGAGCGAACGCGGAGGAGCCUAAACCGGUGUGCGUGCAUGCCGGGGUCAUGGACUGCAUUUAAGAUUCAGCGAAGUUAACAGAACGGUUUUGGGAAAGCCGGCCGGAGAGGGUGAAAGCCCCGUACGUGAAAGCAGAGCUGACUGAGCAGGAUCCGGAGUACCACGAGACACGAGGAACCUUGUGGGAAGUAAGGGGGACCACCCCCUAAGGCUAAAUACUACUUAGUGACCGAUAGCGCAUAGUACUGUGAAGGAAAGGUGAAAAGGACCCCGGGAGGGGAGUGAAAGAGAACCUGAAACCCUGUGUCUACAAGCUGUGGAAGUACUUUAUAUGUACGACCGCGUACUUUUUGUAGAACGGUCCGGCGAGUUACGCUUACUGGCAAGGUUAAGCACUUCAGGUGUGGAGCCGUAGGGAAACCAAGUCUUAAUAGGGCCAGAGUCAGUAGGAGUAGACCCGAAACCGGGUGAUCUAUCCAUGUCCAGGUUGAAGCUGCCGUAAGAGGUAGUGGAGGACCGAACCCACAUCCGUUGAAAAGGGUGGGGAUGAGGUGUGGAUAGGGGAGAAAUUCCAAUCGAACCCGGAGAUAGCUGGUUCUCCUCGAAAUAGCUUUAGGGCUAGCCUCGGUGUGAGUCUUGCGGAGGUAGAGCACUGAAUUUCCUAGGGGGCGUCAAAGCCUACCGAAGAAUAUCAAACUCCGAAUGCCGUGUAGAUAUCACCGGGAGUCAGACUGCACGAGAUAAGUUGGGCGGUCAAAAGGGAAAGAGCCCAGACCUACAGUUAAGGUCCCAAAGUGCGCGUUAAGUGGAAAAGGAUGUGGGAUUUCGAAGACAACCAGGAUGUUGGCUCAGAAGCAGCCAUACAUUCAAAGAGUGCGUAAUAGCUCACUGGUCGAGAGGUCCUGCGCCGAAAAUGUCCGGGGCUGAAACGCGCCACCGAAACUAAGGAAUCUGAAAAGAUUGGUAGAGGAGCAUUGCAUGCGGGAAGAAGCAGUACCGGAAGGAGCUGUGGACUGCAUGGAAGAGAGAAUGCCGGAAUGAGUAGCGAGAUAGAGGUGGGAAUCCUCUAGGCCGAAUAUCCAAGGUUUCCAGGGUAAAGCUGAUCUGCCCUGGGUGAGUCGGGACCUAAGGUGAGGGCGAGAGCCGUAGCCGAUGGACAACAGGUUGAUAUUCCUGUACUGCAGUAUGACAGAACUGUGGGGACACGUAAGGAGAGCGGGAGCCGGGAAUGGAAAGCCCGGUACAAGCGAGGUACCAGUCACAUAGGAAAAUCCGUGUGGCAAUGGGAAGACGUGAUGUGGAGUGAAUUUUAGUAACGAAGCCCGUGAGCCAUGCGUCAAGAAAAGCCGCUAUCGUUCAUAUUGUACCCGUACCGUAAACCGACACAGGUGGAUGAGGAGAGAAUCCUAAGGCCGGCGGAAGAAGUAUUGCCAAGGAACUCGGCAAAAUGGCCCCGUAACUUAGGGAGAAGGGGUGCCUGCGAGAGCAGGCCGCAGAGAAUAGGCUCAAGCAACUGUUUAGCAAAAACACAGGUCUAUGCGAAACCGAAAGGUGAGGUAUAUGGGCUGACGCCUGCCCGGUGCUGGAAGGUUAAGAGGAGAGGU